rnacentral:lncRNA from 1 species
CAUUCUCCUAUUUUAGAAAAAAAAACUUAUUGAUUUUCAGUAAAUUGACGAAAAGUCGACCUACCCUGUGUUUAUUUUUGGAUAUUUUGAACCAGAAAAGCUCAACAGGAAGUGUUAGAAUACUUUUUUCCGUCCUAACCAUUUGGUUGAGAUUAGAUGGUUUACCAGGCGUGUUCUAUACAACCACCAACAUCAUACUCAUCCAAAAAAAUAUUAUGUACAUAAAAACAACUUACAACACGUGUUCUAACUUAUUAAAUGUACAAGCACAAAAUAUGGUUGAGAUUUUUUCACCCUUUUUAUUUCUGCAUUAACAUUCUCCUGUGGAAAACACGUUACUAGGUUCAAAUUAACUGAGUAGCUCACUCGCUGAUAGGAGGGAAAACACAAAUAGUAUUUAGAGCAUCUGAUAGGAGGGAAAACACAAAUAGUAUUUAGAGCAUCAUAAAAUUAGAACAAAAAGGGUUGACAUUGGUAUAUAAUUGAAUAAUUGACAUAUAAUUAGUUUACAAUGGGUAUGUUUUUAUUUCCUGGCUGGUCGGUAGGUUUUGGUGGCUUGAAGAAAACUAAGUUACCUAGUUGGGCAAACGCAGUACAUUUUCUGUAUAACUGAGAACGAUUUGAUCAAUCAGUAGUUUAGGGACAAUCAACUUAAAAAUUGUUAAAGUUAUAGUUUAUAGACUUGUGUAAAACUGUUACAUACACGAUUAACCAAAUGUUUUUAUGAUAUUUAAUGCACAUUAACAAGAGAAAGUUAUAUAAUUACAUAUGAUCACUCGAUAUUUGGAAACGUUGUAUUUUCUGACAAUUUUUAAAAGUGUUCUAAUUACGGAUUUCAGUGGUUGUGAACAGGAUGGCCAUUUCCUAUGUAUGUCUUCUCUUAGAUAAAAUGUCUAUCGUGACCCAACUUUUACUUACUAGGAAGUAAUGAAUGUUUGUGUAAACACGGUUAUCUAAAAACACACACCGUGAUUAUACUGUUACCAGAGGUAGUUUUCUCGGUGAAUUUUAGGAAACCCCCUAGUAAAUGUAUUUAAAUGAAUUUGAUAUCAUUUAUUUUGUCAACAACGUUAUCAUUUUUUGUGAAUUUUAAGAUUUGAAAUUGGAGAUGAUUGUUUUUUUUUUUUUUUUUUAUUACGAAUUUAAAAAUUAAUUUUUAAAUGACAAUAUGCCCGAUAUUCAUAUAUCUGAAAGGCCAUGGUCAUUAUAUAAAAACUGUAAUAAAGCAAGCGAUUGUUAGUACUGUGAAAUGCAGUUAAAUAGACGUUUUUUUUUUUUAUAUUAUCAGGGUUUUAAUUAAUGCAUUACGUGUAUUCACAGCGACUCAUUUAAAGAGACGCCAGAAGUUUCUUCGUGGUAUACCGUAUACAUGUGCGAUUCAGUCAGGACAGCGAUUUUAAUAGAACAGAUAAUUUAGUACAUAUAUUUCUUUUAUGGUAACAGAUAUAGCAUAUCGGACAAAACAAGCGUGUAGGUUAUAUAUUUGAUUUAUUUUCAUUUACGCCAACUGUUCAGGGUUCGACCUCUGCGGUGGUAUCAGCCUCCACUCAGUGAAGCAUGUUAUUAUUUUAAUUCGUUCAUAAUUCACCAUUGCCGUGGUAUUUGCUCAAGGCAGGGUUGUUUUUUUUUUUUUUUUUUAUCAAAUCAGUUGUGGGAUAUGCCGUAACGUAAAAAAUGCCUUUGUUACCUUCCGUUGAGACGAUUGGUUAUUUUUGCGCUUUUGCAUACGUCUUUCUUGUCGUUAAUGUUAGGCAAGAUAAUAAUGUCCAAUUUUGACAUUUACCGUGUUUAAAAGGUGAUUUGGAAAACUAUUGUUGUUUGUAAUGUAGCCCUCCUCAACAUUAUAAAUCUGUUCAUAACACAGUGUUAUUUUAUCAGGA